ACAACUAGACUAUAAAUUCAGUCAGCAAACCACCCCUUCUAAACACUGCGUUGAUGCUGUCUGGUCGUUGUGAUUUUAUUUGAAUUUUCAGAAUCGCGUAUUUUGCUUUUAUUUGAGUAGUGCGUAAUGAUAGGGCUAACUGUAGUAGUACAGGUUUAAUAGCAGCAGUGUAGUGUGAAACUUGGUGAAGAUGACCAGAUAAUGUAGCUAAGCUACUGUAGCUAACGUUAGCUGUUGAGUUGUCUGUCAUUCGACGCCUAGAUGUGUUACUAUCUAUAUCUAUUGCUUUCUAGCGACGGAUCGUACAUGAUUUUGUAUUUGUUUAAAAACAAACAAGGUGACGUUAAGUCAUAGCAACUCGCUAGCUAAGGACAUUUUUGAAUUCGGACGUGUCCGUUGACAAAAGUCAAGAUGGUGGCCACAAAAACGAGAUUAACGUUAGGUGGCAGGGUCUUGUUUUUAGCAGCGGAGGUUACCUAAUAAUAUACCUCAGAAGUAUGCUUAGUUCAACUGAACUGGCAUCGGCAUUAAUUCUAAGCUAAGUAACAUAGCGAAAAUGUUUGUCAAACAAAAGACUGGUCUUGUGGCGCACUUGUAGGCCCGAUUCAAAAUGGCGAUUAGGGAGAAACGGAUGUCCAGGGGAUUCGGUGCAGUUAUCUGAAGAUCAAGCUACAAAUGUCAUUUUCGAAGAUCAGAAAAUAAUCAGGUUGUAUAAGAAGCGUUAUCGAAAGAACCAAGUUACAAUUCAAUACAACCUGAUACAAUUGAAUUAAGUUUCCAUUUAUCUGAGGCAGUAUAGUUACUUCAAUGUCUAUUUGAUAUUUUUCCUCAAAUGAACAAUACGUUACAAGAAAAUAAUCAUAUGAAGCCUUGUGAAUACGAAGCUAAAUAUGCACGUUGCUAGACGGUCUUGUGAAGAAUUGUGACGUCAUAGGAAUAGCCAGCUAAAUAUUUGAAUUAGUAGACGUUGGGCGGUGGUCUCAGGCAGUUACGCUAACUUCAAGUUGAUCACAUAUCGGGAAGAAAUACAUUUUAUACCGAAUAAGAUUCAGCAAUAGGAGUUAGGUGAAUAUCAGAUGCAUUUUGACGUUUUUGUUAUAUUAUGCCUAAAAUUACUAAUACGUGGACCUGCUGAUAGUUGAUUACAUGUGAGGACAAUCGUAGAAAGUUAAUGUAGGAAGCAAGUUUCAAGACUAAUACCUUGUGAAAAGAUAUGAUUCCUUUGAGAACAGCCAACAACAAAUUGAAGAAUGGAAGUUGGGUGAUGGUCCCAUUUAUCAGAGGUGUUUUAGUAACUUAAGAAGUCUGUAUAGGUAACACGUGAGAAAAAAGCUACUAAACCUGAACGAUAUGAAACGUGAAGCCUUAUUCGUUUGAAUAGCAAGCAAAGUAUUGGAAGAGAAUUUGGCCUGACGGUGCCUGUAUCAGUCAUUUGAGCUACUUCAAGAAUUAACCACGUUUUUAAACAUAAAAUGUCAAAUGUGCUGCUGAUUAAGUAUCCAAGUGAAGUGGUCGCCUAAAGAGCACGUGCUGUAAUUCAUGGAAUCGCAGGCUCAAAUGUGACCUUGUGUUGUCACGCCUCAGAUGUUUUUUUACUUUUUCAAAACACAAUUUGCUCCAGUGAAGAAAAGAAGGCUUUUUUUUUUUUCUGAGAAUGGACUGAGUUUGAGUUGUGGGUGGAAGGACUUAGCUAGUUAGCAGUGUGUAAGGAAGGACUAUUUCAGGAUCAGAGGGAGGAACCAGGCCACGGGCAAACUGGGAGGACCAGCGGGGAGCGAGGCAGGACCCAGGGGGAUCGAGGGAGGAGCAGAUGGGAGCCAGUCGUGGGAAGCAGCCGGGUGUUCAUCAGAGGGAGCGAGCCAGAUGGCAGGGUAGUGAGCCGAGCGCGGAGAAGUUCCGGGUCGACUGUUGCCCUAAGCCAGCCAGUGGGUCCCAGCAGCAAUGAGGCAGACGUGUUAAAGAGCAUAUGUGUAAAAGGGUCAACUAGCUUCGCCAGUCACAGGAAAAGUGUUUGGUAAUGGUGUGGUAAAGCGUUUAUUUUCCUGGUUUCCCUUUCCUGUGUGCUGAGUGUCUGCUGUGAUGAGUCCCCCGUGGCCUUCUUGGUAGUGGGCUGGUGAGAGGAGGACCGUCUUAAAAGGAUUUCACCCUACAUCUGCAGCACAGAUGUAGUGCCCCCGGGGCGGAGGAGUUUCUCCUGUCAUUGAGUUCAAUAGGUCUACCCCCCCAAGAUGCGGUCUACAUGGGAGUGUGUUGAGUGGGAGGUCUUCUGUACGUCCGUACCGCAACGCCCCUUUGGUGCUGAGCAGCUACAUCUGCUGGUUGAAGUGAGCAGUGAGUUUAAAUGCAUGAUCUGAUCACAUGCGGAGUAACUAUUCCCCUAGCUAAAUAUUGAUAUCAAAUUUACAUUUGCCUUCAUAUUGGUAAUUAAGGGAUUAUCCCUGAAUUUCUAUUUAGUCUGGUAUUAUUGGUCCAACUGUAGUGCCUUUGUGGAUGGGGGGGGGGGACACGUUUUCCGAGUUCUUCUUUUCACAGGCUCGCCCCUUAAAGCAAAGCUGACCGUCCAAGGGAGUCCCUCUUUAGUACUACCCACCACAUUAAUCAAAAAGAGUUGGGGACAUCGCGUAAAUGAUAAUUCUAGGAUGGAUCAAGUGACCCCUCCGGCGUUAAAGUGAUGUAGGAAGGUAUUUUGUGCUAGUUUUCUGUAGUGAGUUGAUCACAUUUGAAUAUGUACUACCAUACUUAUGUUAAGUGUUUUUCUUUCAAUGCAUUUGAACUGGGCAGCCAUAUUUGGGGAGGGGGGGGUGUUAAUCCAAAUUUCUUCCUAGAAUUCUUUCACACAGCUUCGUGUAAAGCAGCAUUUAAAGAUCCAAAUGGCUAGCAUUGAGGUUUGGGGAGCAAGGAAUCAACCGGGUGGUCCACAUCUUUCGGGUGUCCGUUUCGCAUUGUGGUGUAGAGAUUCCUCGGUGUCUACAAGGGUGUAGCAAGUGGCGGGCCACGUUUUGGGAAGUCGACUCGUAUUCUCCCAGGGAGUGUGGUAAUUGUCACCUUUAGAUUGACACAUUUCUAUGUCAUGGAGUAUAAAGUUGCAUUUGGGGUCUCUGGGGUCAGGGGACUGCUUAAUUGUGACUUUUCCAGAUUAUUAUGUGACCCAACCGUUCAAUGAAAGAACAACUAGAGGUCCACGUCUACCCCCGUGUGUCUUAGGAAGAAACGGUGACGCAGAGGCCAGUGGUAUUUUAACGUUUUUUUGUGUGGAAAGUUAAUGAUUUGGGAUUUCCAAAUUUGGUUUUGAUAUUUUCAUUGUAUAUUAGCAACUGUUAAUACAAUUUGAUACUGUAAUUGUGGUGUCUUGGUUGGUUACUGUUUGGGUUUGUCUGUGUGGGUGGGAAUGGUGGAAGGCUUGUUUUCCCUUCUGCAUUUUUCAGUGUGCUGUGUCCUGCAUUUUCAAUACUCAAGACCAACAGGAACACCCCCUAACUCAUUGUAUGUAAACGUUUUCAAUCGCUUCAAAACGCCUCGCAAGGUCUCAAGUAAGGUCACUUACAAAUGUGUUCACAUUUCCCUUUUUAAUAUUUCAUAACAUUUGGCAACACAUAAAUUGCACUCCCUUUGCAAAUUAGGUAAUGUUUUGUAUUGAUUCAACAGAGCUAUCUGUAAAGGAUUCAUAAUUGGUAAUAAAUGCAUAGCUUAUUGUGAUUGAA